GUAUUUAUGUGUUGUCUCACAGUUUAGCGCUAACGUUUCCAGCGCAAGUUUGAAUCUCUCUCAGUCAGGGCGGAGAUUGACUGACAGACUAACGUUACUCUACCAAACGGUUAUUCACUUAUAAAACCUUUUAAAGUUUAGCGCAAAUGUUUCCUGUGCAAGUUUGAAUCUCUCUCAGUCAGGGGGGAGAUUGACUGACAGACUAACGUUACUCUUUACCAAACGGUUAUUCACUUAUAAAACCUUUUAAAGUUUAGCGCUAACGUUUCCAGCGCAAGUUUGAAUCUCUCUCAGUCAGUCAGGGGGGAGAUUGACUGACUGACUGACUACUCGCCACCAAACUGUCAUUUACCCAGAAACCUUUUAAAGUUUAGCACAAACGUUUCCUGCACAAGUUUGAAUCUCUCUGUCAGGGGGGAGAUUGACUGACUGACUGACUGACUACUCGCCACCAAACAGUUAUUUACCCAGAAACCUUUUAAAGUUUAGCACAAACGUUUCCUGCGCAAGUUUGAAUCUCUCUCAGUCAGGGGGGAGAUUGACUGACUGACUGACUACUCGCCACCAAACAGUCAUUUACCCAGAAACCUUUUAAAGUUUAGCACAAACGUUUCCUGCGCAAGUUUGGAUCUUUACCAUUCAGGAGACUGGCUGGCUGACUGUUCUCAACCAACCAUCAUUCACACGCAAAAACUUUAAAGAUAAGUAUGAAAGUGCCCAGAGCAGUUUUCGAUGUUUACCAUUAAGGAGGCUGACUGACUAUCAUCUACCACCCGUCAUUAACACAACAAAAACUAAAGAAAUAUUACUCCAUAUGGACCUAUUCAUUUACUCAUUAUGCUGUGAGUACACCACAGUUUUAUCAGUGAAAAAAUGUAUAUUUGUGUGUUUUCUCACUGCUUGGCAUGGACAGAUGUGGCCCUGUUAAAAAUGUUUAAAUGUUGUUUGGUUUAAGGAACAGCACACUGAUUUUGUUAUAAAAUAUUCCUGUUUGGACAGUCUGUUGAAGUCAUAAAGGAAUGGUUGAUAUAUUUCAUAAGGAAAGUGUAAAUGUAAUAUUAGUUUUUAAUGUUGCGAAUUUGGACUGAACAACACACUUCUGUUUUAUAUCUAAACCUUUUGUAAAAUAAAUGAUUGUUCAAUAAA